rnacentral:rRNA from 1 species
GAUGAACGCUGGCGGCGUGCCUAAUACAUGCAAGUCGAGCGAACAGACGAGGCGCUUGCUCCUCUGACGUUAGCGGCGGACGGGUGAGUAACACGUGGAUAACCUACCUAUACGACUUGGAUAACUUCGACAAACCGGAGUUAAUACCGGAUAAUAUAUUUAACCGCAUGGUUCAAUAGUUAAAGCCGGUUUUGCUGACACUUAUAGCUGGCUCCGCGCCGCUUUAGCAAGUUGGUACGGUAACGGCUUACCAUGGCAACGAUGGGUAGCCGACCUGAGAGGGGGAACGCGCACAGUGGGACUGAGACGCGGUCCAGAGUCCUACGGAAGGCACAGGUAGGGAAUGUUGGGAGAUGGGCGGAAGCCUGACGGAGCAGCGCCGGGUGGGUGAUGAAGGGCUUCGGAUCGUAAAACGCUGUUAUUGGGGAAGAACAAAUGUGUAAGUAACUAUGCACGUCUUGACGGUACCUAAUCAGAAAGCCACGGCUAACUACGUG